rnacentral:rRNA from 1 species
UGCCUACGGGGGGCAGCAGUGGGGAAUAUUGCACAAUGGGCGCAAGCCUGAUGCAGCGACGCCGCGUGCGGGAUGGAGGCCUUCGGGUUGUAAAGCUCUGUCUUCAGGGACGAUAAUGACGGUACCUGAGGAGGAAGCCACGGCUAACUACGUGCCAGCAGCCGCGGUAAUACGUAGGUGGCGAGCGUUGUCCGGAUUUACUGGGCGUAAAGGGAGCGUAGGCGGACUUUUAAGUGAGAUGUGAAAUACUCGGGCUCAACUUGAGUGCUGCAUUUUAAACUGGAAGUCUAGUGUGCAGGAGAGGG